CACUCGGUGGCUGAAAAAAGUGUAGGUCUUUUAAACCUAUUAUGGUAUAAAUACCCCGGAUGG
rnacentral:tRNA from 1 species